AUUGAACGCUGGCGGCAUGCCUUACACAUGCAAGUCGAACGGUAACAGGUCUUCGGAUGCUGACGAGUGGCGAACGGGUGAGUAAUACAUCGGAACGUGCCUAGUAGUGGGGGAUAACUACUCGAAAGAGUGGCUAAUACCGCAUGAGAUCUACGGAUGAAAGCAGGGGAUCGCAAGACCUUGUGCUACUAGAGCGGCCGAUGGCAGAUUAGGUAGUUGGUGGGAUAAAAGCUUACCAAGCCGACGAUCUGUAGCUGGUCUGAGAGGACGAACAGGCAAACUGGGACUGAGAAACGGCCCAGACUCCUACGGGAGGCAGUAGGGGGGAAUUUUGGACAAUGGGCGAAAGCCUGAUCCAGCAAUGCCGCGUGCAGGAUGAAGGCCUUCGGGUUGUAAACUGCUUUUGUACGGAACGAAAAGCCCUGGGUUAGUACCCUGGGGUCAUGACGGUACCGUAAGAAUAAGCACCGGCUAACUACGUGCCAGCCGCCGCCGUAA
rnacentral:rRNA from 1 species